rnacentral:rRNA from 1 species
AGCGUACACGGUGGAUGCCCUGGCAGUCAGAGGCGAUGAAGGACGUGCUAAUCUGCGAUAAGCGUCGGUAAGGUGAUAUGAACCGUUAUAACCGGCGAUUUCCGAAUGGGGAAACCCAGUGUGAUUCGUCACACUAUCAUUAACUGAAUCCAUAGGUUAAUGAGGCGAACCGGGGGAACUGAAACAUCUAAGUACCCCGAGGAAAAGAAAUCAACCGAGAUUCCCCCAGUAGCGGCGAGCGAACGGGGAGCAGCCCAGAGCCUGAAUCAGUGUGUGUGUUAGUGGAAGCGUCUGGAAAGGCGUGCGAUACAGGGUGACAGCCCCGUACACAAAAAUGCACAUGCUGUGAGCUCGAUGAGUAGGGCGGGACACGUGGUAUCCUGUCUGAAUAUGGGGGGACCAUCCUCCAAGGCUAAAUACUCCUGACUGACCGAUAGUGAACCAGUACCGUGAGGGAAAGGCGAAAAGAACCCCGGCGAGGGGAGUGAAAAAGAACCUGAAACCGUGUACGUACAAGCAGUGGGAGCACAGAGCAAUCUGUGUGACUGCGUACCUUUUGUAUAAUGGGUCAGCGACUUAUAUUCUGUAGCAAGGUUAACCGAAUAGGGGAGCCGAAGGGAAACCGAGUCUUAACUGGGCGUUAAGUUGCAGGGUAUAGACCCGAAACCCGGUGAUCUAGCCAUGGGCAGGUUGAAGGUUGGGUAACACUAACUGGAGGACCGAACCGACUAAUGUUGAAAAAUUAGCGGAUGACUUGUGGCUGGGGGUGAAAGGCCAAUCAAACCGGGAGAUAGCUGGUUCUCCCCGAAAGCUAUUUAGGUAGCGCCUCGUGAAUUCAUCUCCGGGGGUAGAGCACUGUUUCGGCAAGGGGGUCAUCCCGACUUACCAACCCGAUGCAAACUGCGAAUACCGGAGAAUGUUAUCACGGGAGACACACGGCGGGUGCUAACGUCCGUCGUGAAGAGGGAAACAACCCAGACCGCCAGCUAAGGUCCCAAAGUCAUGGUUAAGUGGGAAACGAUGUGGGAAGGCCCAGACAGCCAGGAUGUUGGCUUAGAAGCAGCCAUCAUUUAAAGAAAGCGUAAUAGCUCACUGGUCGAGUCGGCCUGCGCGGAAGAUGUAACGGGGCUAAACCAUGCACCGAAGCUGCGGCAGCGACGCUUAUGCGUUGUUGGGUAGGGGAGCGUUCUGUAAGCCUGUGAAGGUGUACUGUGAGGUAUGCUGGAGGUAUCAGAAGUGCGAAUGCUGACAUAAGUAACGAUAAAGCGGGUGAAAAGCCCGCUCGCCGGAAGACCAAGGGUUCCUGUCCAACGUUAAUCGGGGCAGGGUGAGUCGACCCCUAAGGCGAGGCCGAAAGGCGUAGUCGAUGGGAAACAGGUUAAUAUUCCUGUACUUGGUGUUACUGCGAAGGGGGGACGGAGAAGGCUAUGUUGGCCGGGCGACGGUUGUCCCGGUUUAAGCGUGUAGGCUGGUUUUCCAGGCAAAUCCGGAAAACUAAGGCUGAGGCGUGAUGACGAGGCACUACGGUGCUGAAGCAACAAAUGCCCUGCUUCCAGGAAAAGCCUCUAAGCAUCAGGUAACAUCAAAUCGUACCCCAAACCGACACAGGUGGUCAGGUAGAGAAUACCAAGGCGCUUGAGAGAACUCGGGUGAAGGAACUAGGCAAAAUGGUGCCGUAACUUCGGGAGAAGGCACGCUGAUAUGUAGGUGAAGUCCCUCGCGGAUGGAGCUGAAAUCAGUCGAAGAUACCAGCUGGCUGCAACUGUUUAUUAAAAACACAGCACUGUGCAAACACGAAAGUGGACGUAUACGGUGUGACGCCUGCCCGGUGCCGGAAGGUUAAUUGAUGGGGUUAGCGCAAGCGAAGCUCUUGAUCGAAGCCCCGGUAAACGGCGGCCGUAACUAUAACGGUCCUAAGGUAGCGAAAUUCCUUGUCGGGUAAGUUCCGACCUGCACGAAUGGCGUAAUGAUGGCCAGGCUGUCUCCACCCGAGACUCAGUGAAAUUGAACUCGCUGUGAAGAUGCAGUGUACCCGCGGCAAGACGGAAAGACCCCGUGAACCUUUACUAUAGCUUGACACUGAACAUUGAGCCUUGAUGUGUAGGAUAGGUGGGAGGCUUUGAAGUGUGGACGCCAGUCUGCAUGGAGCCGACCUUGAAAUACCACCCUUUAAUGUUUGAUGUUCUAACGUUGACCCGUAAUCCGGGUUGCGGACAGUGUCUGGUGGGUAGUUUGACUGGGGCGGUCUCCUCCUAAAGAGUAACGGAGGAGCACGAAGGUUGGCUAAUCCUGGUCGGACAUCAGGAGGUUAGUGCAAUGGCAUAAGCCAGCUUGACUGCGAGCGUGACGGCGCGAGCAGGUGCGAAAGCAGGUCAUAGUGAUCCGGUGGUUCUGAAUGGAAGGGCCAUCGCUCAACGGAUAAAAGGUACUCCGGGGAUAACAGGCUGAUACCGCCCAAGAGUUCAUAUCGACGGCGGUGUUUGGCACCUCGAUGUCGGCUCAUCACAUCCUGGGGCUGAAGUAGGUCCCAAGGGUAUGGCUGUUCGCCAUUUAAAGUGGUACGCGAGCUGGGUUUAGAACGUCGUGAGACAGUUCGGUCCCUAUCUGCCGUGGGCGCUGGAGAACUGAGGGGGGCUGCUCCUAGUACGAGAGGACCGGAGUGGACGCAUCACUGGUGUUCGGGUUGUCAUGCCAAUGGCACUGCCCGGUAGCUAAAUGCGGAAGAGAUAAGUGCUGAAAGCAUCUAAGCACGAAACUUGCCCCGAGAUGAGUUCUCCCUGACUCCUUGA